GGCGAGAUGGCCGAGUGGUUAAGGCGCUGGUUUUAGGCACCAGUUGGAAACAGCGUGGGUUCAAAUCCCACUCUCGUCA
rnacentral:tRNA from 1 species